rnacentral:sRNA from 1 species
GAAGGAAAAAGAGCAGCAGAUCCAGGGAGCAUUCACCUGCCCUGUCUCCAAACAGCCUUGUGCCUCACCUACCCCCAACCUCCCAGAGGGAGCGGCUAUUUAAGGGGAGCAGGAGUGCAGAACAAACAAGACGGCCUGGGGAUACAACUCUGGAGUCCUCUGAGAGAGCCACCAAGGAGGAGCAGGGGAGCGACGGCCGGGGCAGAAGUUGAGACCACCCAGCAGAGGAGCUAGGCCAGUCCAUCUGCAUUUGUCACCCAAGAACUCUUACCAUGAAGACCCUCCUACUGUUGGCAGUGAUCAUGAUCUUUGGCCUGCUGCAGGCCCAUGGGGAUUUGGUGAAUUUCCACAGAAUGAUCAAGUUGACGACAGGAAAGGAAGCUGCACUCAGUUAUGGCUUCUACGGCUGCCACUGUGGCGUGGGUGGCAAAGGAUCCCCCAAGGAUGCAACAGAUCGCUGCUGUGUCACUCAUGACUGUUGCUACAAACGUCUGGAGAAACGUGGAUGUGGCACCAAAUUUCUGAGCUACAAGUUUAGCAACGCGGGGAGCAGAAUCACCUGUGCAAAACAGGACUCCUGCAGAAGUCAACUGUGUGAGUGUGAUAAGGCUGCUGCCAACUGUUUUGCUAGAAACAAGACGACCUACAAUAAAAAGUACCAGUACUAUUCCAAUAAACACUGCAGAGGAAGCACCCCUCGUUGCUGAGUCCCCUCUUCCCUGGAAACCUUCCACC